UAAGGAAUAUUGCUCAAUGGGAGAAAUCCUGAAGCAGCAACGCCGCGUGGAGGAUGAAGGGUCUAUGACUUGUAAACUCCUGUAAAGAAGGAAAAAAUUCCCAUUUGAUGGGAGAUGAUGGUACUUCUGGAGUAAGCCCCGGCUAACUACGUGCCAGCAGCCGCGGUACUACGUAGGGGGCAAGCGUUGUCCGGAUUUACUGGUUGUAAAGGGUGCUCAGGCGGAUUUGUAAGUCAGAGGUGAAAUCUUACAGCUUAACUGUGAAACUGCCUUUGAUACUGCAAGCCUAGAGUAUGGAAGAGNGUGAUGGAAUAUCUGGUGUAGCAGUGAAAUGCGUAGAUAUCAGAUAGAACACCAAUGGCGAAGGCAGUCACUUGGUCCAUUACUGACGCUAAAGCACGAAAGCGUGGGUAGCAAACA
rnacentral:rRNA from 1 species